UACGUAGGGGGCAAGCGUUGUCCGGAAUCAUUGGGCGUAAAGAGCGUGUAGGCGGCUUGGCAAGUCUGACGUGAAAGCCCGCGGCUCAACCGCGGAUUGUCGUUGGAAACUGCCUCGCUAGAGUCCGGAAGAGGAGAGCGGAAUUCCUGGUGUAGCGGUGGAAUGCGCAGAUAUCAGGAAGAACACCCGUGGCGAAGGCGGCUCUCUGGGACGGUACUGACGCUGAGACGCGAAAGCGUAGGGAGCGAACAGG
rnacentral:rRNA from 1 species